GCUCCGAUGGCCAAGUGGUUAAGGCGUUCGACUUGAAAUCCAAUGGGGUCUCCCUGCGCAGGUUCGAACCCUGCUCGCAGCG
rnacentral:tRNA from 1 species